rnacentral:rRNA from 1 species
AACGCUAGCUACAGGCUUAACACAUGCAAGUCGAGGGGCAGCAUGAACGAAGCUUGCUUCAAUUGAUGGCGACCGGCGCACGGGUGAGUAACACGUAUCCAACCUUCCGUACACUCAGGGAUAGCCUUUCGAAAGAAAGAUUAAUACCUGAUGGUAUCUUAAGCUCACAUGUAAUUAAGAUUAAAGAUUUAUCGGUGUACGAUGGGGAUGCGUUCCAUUAGGUAGUAGGCGGGGUAACGGCCCACCUAGCCUACGAUGGAUAGGGGUUCUGAGAGGAAGGUCCCCCACAUUGGAACUGAGACACGGUCCAAACUCCUACGGGAGGCAGCAGUGAGGAAUAUUGGUCAAUGGACGAGAGUCUGAACCAGCCAAGUAGCGUGAAGGAUGAAGGUCCUACGGAUUGUAAACUUCUUUUAUAAGGGAAUAAAACCUCCCACGUGUGGGAGCUUGUAUGUACCUUAUGAAUAAGCAUCGGCUAACUCCGUGCCAGCAGCCGCGGUAAUACGGAGGAUGCGAGCGUUAUCCGGAUUUAUUGGGUUUAAAGGGAGCGCAGACGGGUCGUUAAGUCAGCUGUGAAAGUUUGGGGCUCAACCUUAAAAUUGCAGUUGAUACUGGCGUCCUUGAGUGCGGUUGAGGUGUGCGGAAUUCGUGGUGUAGCGGUGAAAUGCUUAGAUAUCACGAAGAACUCCGAUUG